CUGUGUCCACUCCCUGUGUCCUCUCUGGCCCACACUUCUACAGAUUCCUGUUCUCCUUGUGAUCCCAGGAGGAAGCAUAAGGUGUUUUUCUUGAAACAGACAGCUCAUUGAAGGGGAGAGCUGUCCUCAUUGGGCCUCUGGGGGUUUGGUUGCUGUCCCUCCAGCUGUACCUGAAAUGCAGGGUGCAGGGGGUGCGUGGGCAGAGGAGGAGCCAGACCUUUCUUCCUCCACCCCACAGGAGCAAGACUGCUGUUUGCCAACACUGUCCCCUUUGUCUCUUCACUAAGACCAAGGGCAUUCUGUAAGGAUCGCUGUGCUUAAUUAUUAACACAACUUAGCCUUUGCAUCCUUCCAACAACCUCAUGCUGAAGACACAGUUACUACUCAAAUCUAACAAAUGAUGAAACAGGCUGGUAGAGGCUGGCAUGAUGAUGGAGGCAGGAUGAGGCUCUGUAUCUGUAUGACCCAAAACCUGUGUUAUUCUGAGUAUUAGAAAAC